AAAGAUACUUCUGUACUAUGUUCUCUCCCCAUCUUGUUGAAUCUAACAGACAAUUCAGGGAAUGCACGGGUCACACACACCCCCAGUGCUCUGGAUCGUAUCCCCCAAGAACUUUGGUCCACCAGACCGGAUGAUAUUGGACGCCUACAUGUACCCCCCGUCCUGGUCAAGCUCCUGCCUGGAGCCCUUCCUCCUCGAAGACCUCAGUAUCCUCUGAAGCCUGCACAAGCUGAAGCCAUCACCAAAC